AAAAUGUGGAAAACUCAGUCAGUCGGGUCGGGCACGCGCGGGAGGCUGGUGCGUCAACCGCCAUUUCAUUUGACGGCAGCAUGAAACUUUAAGUCUGUUUUUCAAUCAUAUCUUGAGGCAAAGGUGUCGAAAUAAAUUUGUUGUGCACUAAUUUACAAUAUAAUCUAUUAUUCGAAGUAAUUUCUCGGUUGUGGACUCACAAGUGGCAAAAUACUAGUGGCGGGAAACCGUUUGAUAUCUCACUUGACGUGUUGUGUCCUAUGUGUACAUAGAGAGCGGAGCCGUCUGCCCUAGAGGGCGGCCGACAUGCUGGAUUCGUCGUGAAUCGAUAUUUUUGGACCGUUGUAGAGCUUAAAUUAUGAGUUUUGGAGCUUAAUAAAGGACAAAGGAUGGAAAAUGAGAAAGGUGGACAAUGACAACAUGUCCCCGCCGCGUGCGAUGACCCUGCUGGGCGCCGGGGGUCGCGAGCCGCCGGCGGGGUCCGCCCGGCACCACGCGCCCCUAGACCCGCCAUCGCCACGUUUCAUGAAAAACAUAACGCUUAUUAGGUUAUAUCUACAAUUCACAUGUGUCGUGUCACAUCUGAACGACGCCAUGCCGCGGGUGCGUGCGAACUUUAAUUUACCAAAGCGUCCACUAGUGAAGUUAAAAGUGUACGAGUAUCUAUCACAAUUUCGAACUAGUGUAUUUAUUAAAUCGUUGUUAGUGACUACUGUAGUGCAAUUAUUCGUUGUUGCCAAGUGUAUAGUGAGUGUGCGUAAAUACAGGAGCGCGGUGUUGCUGCUGCUGUUAUGUGGGUUGUGUAAAUACAGUGAUGGGAAGCGUGAUGAUGACUUGCACAUUGGUGGGAUAUUCCCCAUGGAGGGCGAGGGCGGCUGGCAGGGCGGCCAGGCGUGCAAGCCGGCCGCUGAGCUGGCACUCGCCGAUGUCAACGCGAGAUCCGAUCUCUUGUCUGGGUUUAAGCUACUUCUACAUAGCAACGACAGCAAGUGUGAACCUGGGCUUGGCGCGAGUGUGAUGUACAAUCUGCUGUACAACCCGCCGCAGAAGCUGCUUCUAUUGGCCGGCUGUUCCACCGUGUGCACCACUGUGGCCGAGGCGGCUAAAAUGUGGAAUCUUAUGGUUCUAUGUUACGGUGCUUCGUCACCAGCGCUGUCAGACCGGGCGCGGUUCCCCACACUGUUCCGCACGCAUCCAUCUGCGACGGUGCACAAUCCUACGAGAAUAAAACUCAUGCAGAAGUUCGGCUGGUCACGCAUCGCGAUACUACAGCAAGCCGAGGAAGUUUUUAUAUCAACCGUGGAGGACCUCGAAGCACACUGUAAGAAAGUAGGAAUAGAGAUAGUAACCCGCCAAUCAUUCUUGUCGGACCCGAGCGACGCGGUGCGGAAUCUCCGAAGACAAGACGCAAGGGUCAUCGUCGGCCUCUUCUAUGUAGUGGCAGCAAGGAGAGUGCUCUGCGAAGUCUACAAACACAAACUAUACGGAAAAUCGUACGUCUGGUUUUUUAUUGGAUGGUAUGAAGAUAACUGGUUUGAGACCAACCUAGAACGGGAAGGCUUAGACUGCACGGCAGAGCAGAUGCGAGAAGCUGCGGAGGGUCACCUCACUACCGAAGCUCUCAUGUGGAAUCAAAAUGCGAAUCAGACCACGAUAUCUGGGAUGACGUCUGAAGACUUUCGAUCACGGUUGAACGAGGCGCUGCGGGAAGCCGGUUAUAACAUUGACGGCGAGAGAUUUCCUGAGGGGUAUCAAGAGGCGCCUCUGGCCUACGACGCUGUAUGGUCCGUUGCUUUAGCUUUCAACAAAACAAUGGAGAAAUUAGAGAAGAAUGGCUUGAGCUUGAAGAAUUUCACGUACACCAAUAAGAAAAUUGCGGACGACAUUUACGAAGCAAUAAACUCCACGUCGUUUCUAGGUGUGUCGGGUUUGGUGGCGUUCUCCUCUCAAGGAGAUCGCAUAGCGUUGACACAGAUAGAGCAGCUGACGGACAACCAUUACGUGAAGUUGGGAUACUACGACACACAGGCUGACAACCUUACGUGGCUAGACAGGGAGCGAUGGGUUGGUGGUAAGGUGCCGCCAGACCGCACGGUGGUUGUCAACGAGCUGCGGACAGUAUCGCUACCACUCUUCGCCUGUAUGACUGCGCUAUGCAUCGCUGGAGUUUUGGCCGCCAUAGCUUUAAUAGUAUUCAAUAUCCUGCACAGGCACAGAAGGGUUAUCCAAUGGUCGCAUCCUGCUUGCAACACGGUGAUGCUCUGUGGUUGCUGCAUAUGCUUCGGCGCCGCCAUUGCUCUCGGCCUCGACGGCAGAUGGGUGGAGCCGGAUCACUUCUCCGGGUUGUGCGCCGCGCGCGCCUGGUUGCUGGCAACCGGUUUCUCCAUGGCCUACGGUGCUAUGUUCACUAAAGUUUGGCGCGUACAUCGGCACACAACCAAACCAAAAGUGGAGACGAAGAAACGUAUGCACGGCUGGAAGCUGUAUACAAUGGUGGGCGGGCUACUCGCUGUAGAUGUGGCGUUGCUGACCGCGUGGCAGAUACGCGAUCCUCUGCAGCGGCGCGUCGAGAUAUUCCCCCUGGAAGCGCCGCGUCAUCACGACGAUGACGUGCACAUACGACCCGAGCUGGAACACUGUGAAAGCGAGCACAAUACCGUCUGGCUUGGAGUCAUGUACGGAUACAAGGGUUUGGUGCUAGUGUUCGGACUGUUCCUCGCAUAUGAGACACGAUCAGUCAAGGUGCGCCAGAUCAACGACUCGCGCUACGUCGGCAUGAGCAUCUACAACGUGGUGGUGUUAUGCCUCAUCACCGGCCCGGUCACGUUGGUCAUCGCCAGCCAGCAGGACGCCGCCUUCGCCUUCGUGUCCCUCGCGAUUGUCUUCUGCUGCUUCCUUAGCAUGGCCCUCAUAUUCAUUCCUAAGGUUAUCGAGGUUAUACGUCACCCGACAGAACGUCCAGAAAGUGGUCGGGGUUCCGGAUCUGGAUCUGCCCCAGCUGACGAAGAACGUUAUCGUGAACUUGUUAAAGAGAAUGAGGAACUGCAGAAACUAAUCGCACAGAAAGAGGAGCGAAUCCGUGUCCUAAAGCAAAAAUUGGCGGAGCGUGAGGCAGCGGCAGCGGAUGGUGUCACCCAAGGUACGGGCGCAGUGAUAGCGGAUCUCGCCACUGCCACUUCCGACUACGGCACCUCCACCAACUACACCCGCUCCUCGCGAGCAUCAGUCUCCGACCUUGACUUCUCCGAGAGCUACCUAUAAAUCCCUUAGCUUUAUGUCAUUGACUGUUGUAGAUGAUCAAACGCUGCUGUUAAGUCACGAAAAAUAAAACUUCACUUAAUCAAAAUUAACCACAUCAUUGUCGCAGCUUUAUCGCAUCUAAGUUUCUAUGUGGAUUAAAUUAAUAAUAAAAAGACUACAUAAUCCAAAUAAUGCUUGCAUAAUAUUCCCAAUUAAAUAUAUAUACAUGCUAUCCCCUUUCUUUCAUCUCAAGUAUUAUUAAAUUUCGAUACCUAUUUACAAAAUUCCCUGACUAACUUACUUAAAUCCAACUACAUAAAAUUUUGCUUAAACAUAAUCCAUUCUACCCCUUUUAUUACAUAGGAUAGCUAUUAAGGUAAAUAAAAUAAGUUGAAAACCGUAAUCCAGUACAUUUCAGUUACAACUCGGUUUCUAAUAUUCGAUAAAUAAUGUUGUGGUGAUCUGGUUUCUUGUUUCAUCUUAUUAAAAAUAACAUUUGGCUUCUCAUUUUGUCGUUAUUUUAUAUUAAAUUCACUCAAAAUUUUGUUGAAGGUAUGAAAAACAGAAAAAACUACUUAAAAAACUUCUCAAACUGUGUCCGUUUUAAAACGUUACGCUACAAAUAUUCGUUUUCUGGAUAUCGGUAAUAACAUUGUGCUAAAAUCGAUCAUAAAAAUAUUAAAUUUGCAAAUAGUUUUAAAAACUUUUGAAAAUGUUAUUAAACUUUAGAAAUAAGUUUAUUCUUUAUCGUGAUGUCCACACCUGAUCCCAUGUCGCUCCUUGUUGUUCCUCAGCCUGGAUACUACCUCACAAAUCGUGACAAUUUGCACGUGUUCCCUUGUGUAUUGUACAUACCCUAUCUUUAACUCUCACUAGACUGACUUAGAUUUACUAUUAGAUUAGGGAGCUACACGAAAAAUCUCAUUGUUUGUACAAGACCUACUUUAGCUACAUAUACUCUCUACUAACGCCAUUGUAAUGGCACUAACUUUAGUAUACUUUGUCUAUUCACUACAACGAUUUCUUUAUGCUUUUUAAAUGUUUAAUACAUAAUGUUAAGAUUUACACGAAUGUCUUCAAAUUUGACACUUUUAAAUUUAAUUAGCACCAAUUUAAAUUUAGAUUAUAGAUUAAUGAUGUCGUUGACAAAAUGAUAAUUUAUGUGAAACGUUAUUUAUUUAUAGACUAUAAUAUCGACCAUGUUCAUUGAACUGUUCAGUGUUCACGCUAUUCAUGUUUUUGUUAUUUUUUAGAUGCGUAGUGUUUUUGUUCGAGUUCAUGCAGUCAAAUCUCGUUAAAUGCAUAAUUUAUAAAGUAACACUAAAAUUUCAUGUAUAUAAUUUAAGUUUGUCAUUUAAAAUACAAUCUUUUAAAAUGUUAAUUGGUAAUGUUUUCUUUUCAAAAUUGACUUAAAAUGAGGAGAGAGAUCAUAAAGUUGCAACUGGCGUUGUGACUCGCAAUAUGUCGAGAGUUCUGAAUGUUAAGGCUGUAUGUCCAAGAUGAACAAAUUUAAUCGCCGAUGAUUCCACGGUUUUGUUAUAGUGUUAUUUAAUAAAUACCAAAUUAUAUAAAUACAAUAUUAUUGAUAGGCCACUUUCUAGCUUAGAAAUAUUUAAUAAUAAAAUUUCAUUGUCACAUACAACAAACUUGGAACAAGAUAGCAUUAGUUCGGUUUGCUUACAAGAAGACGAGUCUAAUGAAGAUGACAUUAAUGAACCGUUGGAGAGUGUAACGGAACCUUCACUCCCCACCACUCAACCCCUCUCCGCGCGCGCAAUGCGUGCAGCAGCGCGUCGCGCAGCCGCUUCGCAGUUUGGAUCGUGCCGCGAUGCAAGAACCAGCUCAUGACUAAGGGCCCCGUAUGGGUUCGAAACUAGUCGGGCAUACUCCGACGUAAUAUUACGUGAGUUUUAGCCGUGUUUCAUAAUCAUUUAAUAAAAUUUAAAAAAAUAUAUUGAAACAUUCACUACAAGAUAAACGAUACUUUCCCUGUAUUUUAAUUUAUAUAAUUUUGCCGUUUUAGAAAUUAAACUAUCGAGAUUGCUUUAAUAGAAAAACGGUUAGAUUAUUAAUAAUCACGUGGAUUAGCCAUUUUGUAUAUUAGAAGUAGCAGUUUUUAAGUUUUUUUUAUUAUUGUUUGUUACCUUAUAACUUCGUCAUUUAUUAACUAAUUCUGAAAUUUUUUGUUUGAAAGAGUAUAGAUACUUCCAGAUUGGUCCAAUUUCAUUUUCAUGAAAAUCGGUUCAGUAGUUUUGUAUUGAAAUUUUGUGAUUCCAUUUUUAUGUUAAAAAUAUUUUAGCUAUAAAGUGGCCUGUUAUUAUAAUCAAGUCUAUCUUUAACGUUAUCGACUAACAGUUUUAAUUUACGAAACGAUACUUAAUGAUAUGAAAUAAAAGUGUUCUUAUAAAUAUAGAUGAUUGAUUAAUGUAGUUGAGAUAUCAUGAGGAGUUAGCAUAUUGAUAAAAAAUGUUUAGUCUGAUUAACAUGGAGGUUAUAUAUUGUUUAACGAACAAAGUUAAAGCAUUAUAUUUAUGAGUAUGAUAAACAGAUAUCAAUAUGUUAUAAAUCUAUUGGUUGUAAACAAUGAUCAUUGCUCAGUAUAGUAUAAGUUGUAAGUCAACCGAAAUACUAAAUAGAAGCCGGCGUUACUUUGCGAAAGUUCAUUAUGAGCAGUGAAUAAUAGAUUUAUUGUUCACUUUUUCGUGCGAAAAGCCGACGAACAUAAGCGACAACGUCACUUAGACCCGACAAAAAUCCAUGUACAUCUCACUCCUACCUCUUUAGUACAGUUAUAGAGUUAAGGCUCUUUCGCACGAGAGUUAAAAAAGCGAUGCGUUAAAACCCAGCGUUGCAGGGGCUGCGGAUAGUAUGAAGUUGGAAGAAGGUAUUUCUAGCUAUUUCUAGCGCCCAAAAUUGAAAAUGGAACACUGCUCGACAAAAAAGUGUGUUAGAGUUAUAAAGUGCUCUCCGAAGGUCCGAUAGCUUUUUUCGAGCAGUGUUGCAUUUUAAUUUUGGGUGUUGGAAAUAGACCUUCAUUUAACUUCAUACUAUAUUUGAACGCUUUUUUAACGUCCGUUAAAAAAUACUUUCGUGCGAAUGGGGGCUUAAGGCUCAUUCACGCGAGAGUUUAAAAAGCGAUGAGCUAAAACACAGCAUUGCGGGUGCGGCUGAUAGUAUGAAGUUAAAUUAAGGUCUAUUUCCAACGCCAUUGCAACACUGCUCGAUAACAAAGGAUCGUGUUUUAAAAACGCUAUCGUUCGCACAUAUAAUUGUGAAUACAUUUUUUGUAUUUGAACGCUUUUUUAACGUCCGUUAAAAAAACUCUCGUGCGAAUAACCUCGGAUCCUCGGAGAGCACGUUAAAACCCUAAGCCCACCCACUCGGAUUGAAGCAGUCAGUGCUUGGGAUCAGUUAGUCUAAGUUCCAUACCUGAUUACCUGUCCUGUAAGGAUCAAGGGCUGACCUUGUAGUGACAUUUUUUCCCCCGAAUCCGAAACGUCCUCCGAACAUGUUGACUCUAUAGUCAUUAAUAAUGAUACGUAGAGGAUUUUUGUCAAGUAUGAUUUAGGUUUGGGUUAUUUGGCAGAAAGUAGCAAAAUAAAUCAACUAUUCACUGAGUACCAAUAAAUUACAAUGUUUUAUCCCAUCGUUAACAUAUUGUUCGUUAAUUAUUAUUAUUCAAAAGGUUACUAACUUAAUAAAAUAUAAAUUAUAUACUUUAAUUUGGAAACCAAGGGUUUCAAAGAGAAUUAUAGUUGUUAGUGAAUUUGUAGAUUCACAAUUUCUUUAACACAUUUCAAUUCAAAAAACGUACAGCCAUUACUACGGACAACAAGUUACUGUCACGAGUCUAUCAGUUAUUUUAAUAUUAUUCAUACGUAAAUUGAAUUAUUUUUAUAUUCAGUAACGAAAGACAAUGCAUCAUAUUUUACUGGCUUUAUAUUAACUAUAAUAUGAAAUAUGAAAGUAUAAAUGAAAUUAAUUUGUCAUUUUUCGCUAAAGUUCAAGAUCUGUGAUCUACAAGUUUUAUGGUAUAUUUGGAUUGUGUAUUUUCCUUUUAGGUGCGAUUUAUAGUAACUAAAUAGCAAUUACACGCAAAAAAUCGUGCAUUUGAUGAAAACUUAUAAACACAUCAUUCAAGAUUCAUAUUAUGUUUUACUAUAUUUAAAAUAAUGAACAUAUCAGAAGAAUAUUAUAGUAAGCUUAAUUAUUUAAUUUGAAAAGCGAUAGGCACAAAUUGAAUUGAUCACAGCAGCCUGAUAAAACUAAGUUUUAGUGCGUGAUUUCAUAAUACAUGAUUUGUUGUAUUUUCUAUGUUUAUAGAUAAAGUCAGUUCACAAAAUUAUCGGAUUGUUGGGCGGUUAUUUGUGUUUGCCCCACAUUCAUCGAUGAGAUUAUGGGAACGUAAGGAGAUUAACAUUGUGUUGUGGCGGAUAACUCGCAACACCUUGAUAUAUUUAUAAACACACACAUUCACUUCACUACACUAUUAUUAUACAGAGAAAUGAUUUUUUGUAUGCAGCGAAUAAGCUUUGAAACUUCUGAACCGAAUUCGCCAUUUUUUUCAUUUUUUUUAUAAAUUAAAAGCUAUAUUGUCAUUUUGGCUGGUGGGAGGCUUCGACCGUGGCUAGUUACCACCCUACUAGCAAAGACAUACCGCCAAGUGAUUUAGCGUUCCGAUACGAUGUCGUGUAGAAACCGAAAAGGAGUAUGGAUUUUCAUGCUGUUCCUAACAAGUUAGGCUGCUUCCAUCUUAGAUUGCAUCAUCACUUAUCAUCAGGUCAGAUUGUGGUCAAGAGCUAACUUGUAUAGAUAUAAAAAAUAAAGAAAGGGCUGUAUUUUAAUUUCAAUGAUUUUAGAGAUCCUUACAAGAAAUGUAAAAAACCGAAUUCAAUGCAAACAAAGUUGGGGGUGUCAAUGAGCAAUAAACAAACAUGUUUUUGUUUAUUGCUCAUCAUUAAAUACAGUAAUUUAUUUAAUACUUAAUUUAUGUUCAUACGUAAAAUUACAAGUUGAUGGGCACGUGCCGAAAAUAAGAUCAAAAAAGAGACGGUUGGAUUGUUUGAAAGAAGAUAUGUGUGAAGGAGAAGUUUUUUUUUCGUGUUGAGUCUGUGCCGAUGGCUCCAUGUGGAACCACUACGGCGUCACCGGGGGGUAAGUGUGGAGUUGACGUAUGACAGAGGUGAAUGGAAAAGGAUGUAAUUUUGUGCCGACCUCACUUAUGUGGGAUAUAGACGAGAAGAUUGUAUAACGGUAUACAUACGUAGGAGCAGAUGCCCGGGAUUACGUCCCGUUGAAUUCGGUUUUUCCGGACAAUGUGGAUAUUGUCCGAAAAGGUUCAUUCACGUUGGGUGGACCAUAUGUCAAUACCCUUAUUAAAUUUUGCUAAGGCCUUAACUUAAUCUAUCAGUGAAAACUACAUGAAAAUCUGUGUAACAUUUUAUGUUUAGGAAAAAUUAAAAAAAAUGGGAAUUAGGAUAUUCUUUUCCUAUUUUAUCGCCACCUCUAAAUUUCAUUUUUACAUUGUACUAUGUACGCACUGUUUCUAAAUGUAAAGUUAUACUUAUGUAUAAUCUAUCUAUACUAAAAUGGCUUUAUCGCAGUGAUAAAUGAGGCCAAAAAAUAUAGUUACAUUAUUUAUCACAAAAAUUGUCUCAUUUAAUUUCCCAUGUAGAAAAUUUUACAAAGUUAUUACGUAAAAGUUACCUCAUACUUAGUAGUUAAUUAAUGAAGUUAUAUAGAAUUACCAUCACAGUACAGCACUGCCAGAUAAGUCAAGUUAAAAGUUACUGUUACUAAUUAAUAGAAAUUCAUUAUACUCUUGGUUCGUUUUUAUUUAUUAUUUUCUAUAAUCAUUAUUUUCUUGGGUUAACUUGGGUUUUUUUAAGAUACAUAAUGUUUAUUUUAUCUUUUUAAUUUUUAGACUGUUUUUACCGUAUUAUUUACUUCAAAAUAAACCAGGUUUAAUAUAUUUCUAUAUUGUUAAUAAAACGAGAUGUACUUUUUAUUUACAUCUUUAACUAAACUUGCAUAACUUUAUAUAGAAUCUUCUAAUAAUAUCGAAAACAAUUUUUAGUUUAAUUCAGUAAUUUAAAUGUGUUUUAAAAAAUUAGAAAAUAGCUAAACACAACAAAUUCAGUCUAACGCUAAGUGGAUGAUAAAAAGAUCUCUCUCCAUAUUGGAAUCAAAAACUCAGUAUAUUUUAAUUCUCAAUUGUUAGAUGUAUUAAUUGUACUAUUAAUAAAAUAGCUAUUUAAAGUUGAAUACAUUGGAAAUGAAAAUAAUUAACAUUUGAGUUGAGCUUAGCAAAUGUGAAAUAAAAUUUCCUUUUAGGAAUCGUUUAUAAAUUCAAUUUUUGUAUAUCUUUUUAAAUGCUUAUACAGACAGCUAUGUUACAUAAAUAAAUCAAAAUACAGAAAUGUUGGUUUGCGGCAGAAAUAAGCAUGGUAACAGCACUAACCCGGACAGGCAUUGUUACAAAGUGCUACGAAAAAAUAUUUCGUAGCACCACUACGUAGCAGCUACGGAAAACCAUGAAAAUCUCAAACGAAUUUGGUGACUGGAUUUUCGGAAGCGGCUAGGUUAGCGAAGCUGAGUGUGUUAACGAUGAUGUUAAGCUCACUAUACACGUAACGUGUUUUAACUCAGUCGGAACGGGACACGAAGUCAUUGGAACGGGACGGCGACGUAUCUACAUAGGGAUACGUUCACACGGCAAUUCCUGCACGUUUUUGACGUGAGAACGUCUUAUAUUUCUAUGGAACCAGCUGCACACUCGAAAAAGAUGAUGUCAUGCGUCGUCCCCUCGCUCUCGGGUUGCCAACUUUUUUUACAAGAAAUAAAGUAUAUUCUGAUCUAUGAAGAUUAUUAAACUGUAAGUAUUUUAUAAAACGAACAAUUUUCUUUUGAAAAAUGCAACCAUUCCAUCAGUAUUUUUUUAUGACGUUAUCGCGUUCAACUAUCGUCAAUAAACCGACUUUACAGACAACCGAUUUUUUGUUUGCGGUAUGUGUACGAACGUUUAAGUAGUAGGUAACCGUUCUUUUGCCGUGUUAACCACGUGUAAAUGCUUCUAUGUAGAACGUCUAUGCUUCUAUUUAUUAGUCAAAACUUAUACUGUAUAAAACGUGCGGGGUUGUCUUAUUGCUGUAUGAAUUUAGCCUUCACGUCUCUUCGCCGUUCCGCCCAAUACCUAACCCCGUUCCGUAUGCAGCGACCUUAAGUCCGUUAAACGCUGUUCCGCUGCGCUCAGCAUCGCUGUAAUCGUUUCACCGGUAAUAUAGCUUUUAUCGCUUAUCUCAAUCUAACGAUUUACGUACGUUUUCCACGUAUGGAACGUAACGGACUAAAUAUUUAUGCAAUCAGAAUCGUUCUGUGCAAGUAUUCUAACCCUUACCUACGUAAAAUAUUACAGCGCUAUUAAAUUUUAAUUAUAAUUACGGUUUCGUUGUGUUGAUUAUUUAAGAAAAAUGAAAAAAUGUUUACCUAUAAUUUGGAUGGUUUUAACUCCUUAUUAGUAUGUCUCUAGUCAUAGAUUUGACUGCAUAGAAAUGUUUGCGAUUAAUUAUUUUAAUUGAUAUUACAUGUUAUUGUUAAAUAUGUAAUCAACAAAACAAUGUUUAUUUUUAAAUAUAUAAAAACUGUUGAUGUUUAAAAUUUUAUUCUCACUCAGUCUCUUUUAGUGCAAUUUGUUGUAAUUUUAUAAUUUUUAUUAAUGAUUGUUAUGAUUGGACAUUUUCGAAAGUCUAGACUAUUUUAGGUAGCUUAGAUAUUUAGUAAUAAUAAAGUAAUGUAAGCUUUUUAAGAAAUCAGUUUCAUUGAUUUUCUGUGAACUGUUUGUUAUAAGUUUGAAUGUGACUUUCACCACCAUGUAAAUAAAAUAUCAUUGAAUGA